AUCGCUAGUAAUCGCGUAUCAGCUAUGACGCGGUGAAUAUGUUCCUGAGCCUUGUACACACCGCCCGUCAAGUCAUGGGAGCUGGAGGGACCCAAAGUCGCCACGAUUCAGUGGUGCCUACGGUCAAUUCGGUGACUGGGACUAAGUCGUAACAAGGUAGCCGUAGGGGAACCUGCGGCUGGAUCACCUCCUUU
rnacentral:rRNA from 1 species